GAUGAACGCUGGCGGCGUGCCUAAUACAUGCAAGUCGAGCGAACAGACGAGGAGCUUGCUCCUCUGACGUUAGCGGCGGACGGGUGAGUAACACGUGGAUAACCUACCUAUAAGACUGGGAUAACUUCGGGAAACCGGAGCUAAUACCGGAUAAUAUAUUGAACCGCAUGGUUCAAUAGUGAAAGAAGGUUUUGCUGUCACUUAUAGAUGGAUCCGCGCCGCAUUAGCUAGUUGGUAAGGUAACGGCUUACCAAGGCGACGAUGCGUAGCCGACCUGAGGGGGUGAUCGGCCACACUGGAACUGAGACACGGUCCAGACUCCUACGGGAGGCAGCAGUAGGGAAUCUUCCGCAAUGGGCGAAAGCCUGACGGAGCAACGCCGCGUGAGUGAUGAAGGUCUUCGGAUCGUAAAACUCUGUUAUUAGGGAAGAACAAAUGUGUAAGUAACUAUGCACGUCUUGACGGUACCUAAUCAGAAAGCCACGGCUAACUACGUG
rnacentral:rRNA from 1 species